rnacentral:ncRNA from 1 species
CUUCCGCCCUCCCCGCACAGGAGGACGGAUCGAGGUAAGCCGCGCGCUCUGCCCUGACCGCGCAGGCACCUCCCAACCGGCCGCCGGGAACCGCACACCCUGUGGCCGUUAGUACUCCGGGCUACGGUGCCGGGCGGGCUGAGGGUCCCGCCCCGGCAC